rnacentral:rRNA from 1 species
CCGUUGCAAGGGACUCCGAAGAGCUGUGGCAAGGGGUGAAAAGCCAAUCUAACCUGGAGAUAGCUGGUCUUCUGCGAAACCCGUUUUAGCGGGUCGCCCAUUUAUUGAAAUUAAAUUCGUUACUAGACGGUACGGCACUGGAAGCCACGCAACUUUUGCUGCAUAAUCGGGGGGCUGUCAUGGCUCUAUCGAUGGCUUCUAACCCCGGAAAUGUAUAGUAUACAAUGAUGGGCAAUCAGACGUAUCGUGAUAAGGCGAUUCGUCAAAAGGGCAACAGCCCAGAACAGGUGUGAAGGUCCCUAACAAGCUACUGAGUGAACACAAGGCAGUCCUCUCCAGUGUCUCUCCACAAAGUGGGCUUGGAAGCAGCCACCUUUUAGCGAUAGCGUAACAGCUCAGUGGUCUGAGCCUCCCUGUAAAAAGGGAAUAUUGCCUGGUGAGGGCGCCAAAAAUGUAACGGGUCUAUAGUAGUUGUCUCUCUGUUCCAGCUUUGGAUAUGGAGGGAGUGGCAGUUUCUUCACUGUCUCACCGAAACCCUGUCCUAGAUGUAAAAUUCUAGGGGUAGCAGAAUACCCAGCAAAUGGAAUGAAGCUUGCUCAUUGAGCUGGUGGACAUAGCUGGGCUAAGAAUGCUGACAUGAGUAGUCUAAAAGGAGGGUAAUUCCCUCUUCGCCGAAAGCAGAAGGGUUUCAUUUGUAAGGUCUAUACCUAGAUGAUUAAAGCAGCGGCCUCUAAGGUUCAGAGUAACAAAUUAGUUCCGAUGAGUAACUCUUCUAUAGGGCAGUAACCUUCCUUAUAAGUUUACCUUCAAGUAAUUAGAGGUAUACUUCAAAGAGUAAGGUUCGGGAAAGAGCCCUACAGAAUAAAUCUUAAAACCGUACCCUAAACCGACACAGGUCUGCAAGUAGAGCAUACUAAGGCGUAGAGAUAAUCGUCUUGAAGGAACUCGGCAAAAUGACCCCGUAACUUCGGGAGAAGGGGUGCCACUAAUAAGUGGCGGCACUAAACAGGGGGGCGCGACUGUUUACUUAAAACACCGGACUCUGCUAACACUAGCGUGGAUGUAUAGAGU